rnacentral:rRNA from 1 species
UACAGAGGUCCCAAGCGUUGUUCGGAUUCAUUGGGCGUAAAGGGUGCGUAGGUGGCGCUGUAAGUCAGGUGUGAAAUCUCGGGGCUCAACCCCGAAACUGCACUUGAUACUGCGGUGCUCGAGUACUGGAGAGGAGAUUGGAAUUUACGGUGUAGCAGUGAAAUGCGUAGAUAUCGUAAGGAAGACCAGUGGCGAAGGCGAAUCUCUGGACAGUUCCUGACACUGAGGCACGAAGGCCAGGGGAGCAAACGGG